rnacentral:rRNA from 1 species
AUUGAACGCUGGCGGCAGGCCUAACACAUGCAAGUCGAACGAGUGGCGGACGGGUGAGUAAUGUCUGGGAAACUGCCUGAUGGAGGGGGAUAACUACUGGAAACGGUAGCUAAUACCGCAUACCAUCAGAUGUGCCCAGAUGGGAUUUGCUUGUUGGUGGGGUAACGGCUCACCAAGGCGACGAUCCCUAGCUGGUCUGAGAGGAUGACCAGCCACACUUGAACUGCGACACGGGCCAGACUCCUACGGGAGGCAGCAGUGGGGAAGAUUGCACAAGGGGCGCAAGCCUGAUGCAGCCAUGGCGCGUGUAUGAAGAAGGCCUUCGGGUGGUAAAGUACUUUCAGCGGGGAGGCGGUAAGCGAAGAAGAAGCACCGGCUAACUCCGUGCCAGCAGCCGCGGUAAUAG